GGUGAGAUGGCUGAAUUUAUAGGCGAUAGACUGUAAAUCUAUUUAUGAGAAUAUUCUCUCUCACCA
rnacentral:tRNA from 1 species